CCACUCACACAUCAAAUGAUGUCCAUCAGGAUUAGACAACUUAAAGAAGUUAAUUCUCUGACCACCCAUGUCCAUGAUGACGAUGCAACCGUUGAUAACAGUCACCAUGUGACCAUCCCUCCUGACUACUCAACUAGCAGAAUCAACAAGGAUCUCUGAAGUGAACUGACCCUGAGUGCUCAUUAAAAUUCUCUGGAGACUGAAUGACGGGAUUACCUAACUGGACUCCAUGUUCUGUGAAAUCAACGCCAGGGUUUUACUGAAGGCACUUCACUACAGUCACUCAUGGAAAAUGUUGAAAUGGGAUGAGAUGAUAACUGAGCCCCUUAAUGAAAGCCAAAGAGCGAAUGACAGAUUGUCAACAAUCACACAGAACCAAGGACAGAGUGGUUUAAAACCCUGGAGAGACAGCAACACAGAUUUUCAAACUGGAGGGGUAAGUGAGAAUGAAAGCAGAAUAAAAAGGAGGUAAGUGAAAACUUUUUCCAAGUUAACUCAAGUUGUUGGUUGGAGAAAGUGGUUAUGCUGUGUAUUCCAUCUAAGUGGGGUCUUCCUUUCAGGCCUGUCCCUAAAGAAAAGGAAGAUGGAAGUUGAGGAAUUUUAUUCUCUGCCUUCCUUCCAGGACAUCAGGAGGAAUAUAAACACAUCUUCACAUACUCACAUACAAUGACACUGAGUGAAGAGAUUCUAGACUGGAAACAUAAUCCGAUGUUUUCUCCAUUUCUUGAACUAAUUUUUAAGUCAAAAUAUCACUUUCCUGAACUUACUGUUUUUGUAUUACCUGAGCACAACAAAAAAACCCCGAGUUAUUUACCUACUUCAGAGUUAAAACAGGAAAAUUCUCUUCCUACUGUUCUAGGCUGAUAAUAAGACCUAAUUUAUUGUCAACCCAAAACAAAUCCAAAAGUUUCACCUUAUAUACUGAGCAGAGAUAGUUCACUGUCUUGAUUCCCCAGGAUCAGCUCACAGGUAUAUUGAUUCAACUAUCAUAAUUAGGGUGACGAUUAGACAGGACUUAGAAAUUAGGAUUAGAAACCUAACAAUAUCAUAAAAAUAUUUAACUUAGAAUAUUUUUGUUCUUAAGGCUUUGAUUUUUUUACGCCUUAAACGAGGAACCUCAAACUCAUAGCAUGUCAUUCUGCCUCUUUCCAACUCAUAAUAUUCCUUUUAGAUUGUAUCUUCUCUGUUAAAAUGUGUAUUCAAGUAUUUUGUCUAUUUUAAUGAUUGUAUUUGCUUUUCUAUACAGUCAUGCAACACUUAAUGAAGGGGAUAAAUUCUGAGAAAUGCAUCACUAGGCAAUAGGUCAUUGUGCAAACAUCUUAGAGUGUAAUUACACAAACUUAGAUGGUACAGCCUGCUGCAUACCUAGGCUACAUGGUACAAAUAUUAUGGGACCACUGUCUAAUGAAUAUGUGGUCCAUCAUUGACUGAAACAUCAUUAUGCAGUGCGUGACUGUACCUUCGUUGUAAGUAUUCUUUAUAUAUUAUUGAUGUAAAACUAUCAUCAGAUAUAUAAUUUGUACUUUUUGCUUGUAAAUUUAGGUCUAUGAUCCAUUUUGAGUUAAUGUUGUGUUUGGUGUGAAGUAUAGGUUUUAGUUCAUCAUUUUUGCAUGUGAGUAGUCAAUUACUUUUUACUAUUUAUUGCGAAGAGUACCCUUCCCCAAUAAAUAGCCUUGGUAGCUUUGACA
rnacentral:lncRNA from 1 species